UCGGCCUCAGCCGCCGCAGUAGAGCCAGGCCUCCUCCUCGCACGUGUUGCGCCUGCGUGCGUGUAGCGCCUCCGCGUCAAAUUCACGUGAGCCUCCACGUCACCGUGCCUCCGUACGACCAUUCCUGCAAUAGACAAAAGACGAACAACGCAGCACCAAAACAAAGGAGGACAGAUAGCAGUUGUAAAAAAUUGAGAUAUUGAUUAUUUCUUUUUCGGCAAUAUAAGGCCAGAUAUCAGAUAUUGUAAGGGGGUCACGCAUAUUGUAAAAAAAAAAAUCAAUACACAGAGAGAAUAUCAAUACAAACAAAAAAUCAAAAUACAAAAAAAUGUGAUUUCCUGGGUUUCUGAUUUAUUCUUUUUAUUUUGCUAUUCUUUUUACUCUUCUUUUUUUUCGCGUUCAUCAAUCGUUUGUCAAGAGGAGAAAUAUAGAGAGAAGAGGGACGAACGUACCUGGUGGUCGAUCUUUCGCUCCUUCCGUCGCGAUCGAAAAUGGGUGAGGAAUCGGGACCUCCAGACGUUAGUCCGUCGAGCGGCGCGCAGAGGGGGUUUCUAGCUUAGGGUUUGCG
rnacentral:lncRNA from 1 species